rnacentral:sRNA from 1 species
GCCAGGUGUGGUGGUGCACACCUGUAAUCCCAGCAGCUCAGGAGGCUGAGAUAGGAGAAUCGAGAGUUCAAAGCCAGCCUCAGCAACAUAAGGCACUAAGCAACUCAGUGAGACCCUGUCUCUA